rnacentral:antisense_RNA from 1 species
AAAAGUAGAAAUAAUAUCUCAAGGGUCAAGUUGACCUUUUCAGUGGGAACGUUGUCCUUCAGGCUACUUAGGAUUCUUUGUAUCUGCUUCCUGGCAAUCUUUGAGAUGCUGUAAUGGAAUGGCUGCCCUGAGUGUUAACAGUAAAACUGUAUAUUCCGUUUUUAAUUAAUUAGGGGUAAUUUAAUUAAUUGGGGAAAGUGUCUCAUUCUCUUUAGAAAAUAUUCCUAAAGAGCUAUAUUUAGAAGCAAAAGAAGAGGAUAAUAUGUGUUUUAUUUACUUGAUUUAACAUUAAAUUGCAAUGGCAGAUGAGCUGCUUUUUGUCAUAAAUUUAUGGGCUGGGCUAAACUUGCAACUGGCCUUGGUGACUGUAUUUCCUUUCAUUUGUAUCUUCAAGAGCUAAAAUGUAAGGCUUUAUCAAUUUAUGAAUAAAGUGAUGAUAAAUUAUUGUA